CUCUGGAUCCACUUGAUGGUUAACCUUUGUGGAAGCAUCUCUCCAAGUCACCUGAUGUGGCUACUGACAAAGCUCUUUUGUACUCAGGCUCAGAGACGCUGGUGAACAGCUGGUCCAAGUCCCCACUGUGCUGAUAUGGUAGCCACAAUGAUGGGCUGAAGUGAAAAAUACAGGUUGAGAUUUUCACCACGGAUUGCAAUACCUGUGGGCUCUUCUUAGACUUAGGAGUUAUCGCAAGGAGAGAAGAUCUGGAAAUGAUUGUUCUUCAAAGCUGUGAUUGAAGAGAGGGAGUGUUUUCCAGUUCUUCUCCAACUUCUUUUCUUUCAGAGUGGCUAUGCAGCUUGGUGGUCUAGAACCACUGUCAGAUGCUGGAGCCCAUAGGGUGGCUGCAAACCAUGGCUGAAUGUUAUGAAAUAGAUGAGUGAUGUUGAACAGCAGCUUGACUCAUUGAAUCUUCACCAGAGCCCUGUGAGGGAACAUCAAUUCUGCAACUGGGUUCUGAUUUACUCUACUGUGGCGGCAAGAAUGUUCUGGGGGCAAGACCUUCAAUCAGCACUUAAUUUGGAGGUCCUACCAAGACGGCUCAACUCAUGAGAACCUACGAUAAUGAAGAAGAAAACAGCCCUGAAACAAGGAAUAGCACACUAAGAAUGACAUUGAAAACUUGGAGAGGGAGUUUGGAGCCAAAGUAUUGGAUGUCCCCAUGAUUUGGGCAAUUACAGUGAAUGGGACCAUCUUCUCUCCUCCUAUAAGUUCCCGGAAGUUACUUGAUGUCAGAAGGACGUCAGAGGACUGAAGAAAAGGUGAGUUGAGUUUGAUGUUCUACUCUUUUGGUCAGUGUAUGAUAUUAUGCUACUAAGGGAUGACUGAAGCCCCUAGCAAAGACAGGGUGUGAAAGCACUCAUUUAUUAAGUUGGUUGCAGGAAGUUAUUCUGUUUCCAGUGAAACACUGAAGUCAAGGACUUUGUGACUUAUUUUCAUUUUUCUUUUACCUAAAAUUGUAUAAUUGGCCUGGCUAUUUUUU
rnacentral:lncRNA from 1 species